rnacentral:rRNA from 1 species
GACGUAGGGCGCAAGCGUUGUCCGGAAUUAUUGGGCGUAAAGAGCUCGUAGGCGGCUUGUUGCGUCGACUGUGAAAAACCACGACUCAACCGUGGGACUGCAGUCGAUACGGGCAGGCUAGAGUUCGGUAGGGGAGACUGGAAUUCCUGGUGUAGCGGUGAAAUGCGCAGAUAUCAGGAGGAACACCGAUGGCGAAGGCAGGUCUCUGGGCCAUAACUGACGCUGAGAAGCGAAAGCAUGGGGAGCGAACAGG